UUAAGCGACUAAGCGUACACGGUGGAUGCCCUGGCAGUCAGAGGCGAUGAAGGACGUGCUAAUCUGCGAUAAGCGUCGGUAAGGUGAUAUGAACCGUUAUAACCGGCGAUUUCCGAAUGGGGAAACCCAGUGUGUUUCGACACACUAUCAUUAACUGAAUCCAUAGGUUAAUGAGGCGAACCGGGGGAACUGAAACAUCUAAGUACCCCGAGGAAAAGAAAUCAACCGAGAUUCCCCCAGUAGCGGCGAGCGAACGGGGAGGAGCCCAGAGCCUGAAUCAGUGUGUGUGUUAGUGGAAGCGUCUGGAAAGGCGCGCGAUACAGGGUGACAGCCCCGUACACAAAAAUGCACAUGCUGUGAGCUCGAUGAGUAGGGCGGGACACGUGGUAUCCUGUCUGAAUAUGGGGGGACCAUCCUCCAAGGCUAAAUACUCCUGACUGACCGAUAGUGAACCAGUACCGUGAGGGAAAGGCGAAAAGAACCCCGGCGAGGGGAGUGAAAAAGAACCUGAAACCGUGUACGUACAAGCAGUGGGAGCACGCUUAGGCGUGUGACUGCGUACCUUUUGUAUAAUGGGUCAGCGACUUAUAUUCUGUAGCAAGGUUAACCGAAUAGGGGAGCCGAAGGGAAACCGAGUCUUAACUGGGCGUUAAGUUGCAGGGUAUAGACCCGAAACCCGGUGAUCUAGCCAUGGGCAGGUUGAAGGUUGGGUAACACUAACUGGAGGACCGAACCGACUAAUGUUGAAAAAUUAGCGGAUGACUUGUGGCUGGGGGUGAAAGGCCAAUCAAACCGGGAGAUAGCUGGUUCUCCCCGAAAGCUAUUUAGGUAGCGCCUCGUGAACUCAUCUCCGGGGGUAGAGCACUGUUUCGGCAAGGGGGUCAUCCCGACUUACCAACCCGAUGCAAACUGCGAAUACCGGAGAAUGUUAUCACGGGAGACACACGGCGGGUGCUAACGUCCGUCGUGAAGAGGGAAACAACCCAGACCGCCAGCUAAGGUCCCAAAGUCAUGGUUAAGUGGGAAACGAUGUGGGAAGGCCCAGACAGCCAGGAUGUUGGCUUAGAAGCAGCCAUCAUUUAAAGAAAGCGUAAUAGCUCACUGGUCGAGUCGGCCUGCGCGGAAGAUGUAACGGGGCUAAACCAUGCACCGAAGCUGCGGCAGCGACGCUGAUGCGUUGUUGGGUAGGGGAGCGUUCUGUAAGCCUGCGAAGGUGUGCUGUGAGGCAUGCUGGAGGUAUCAGAAGUGCGAAUGCUGACAUAAGUAACGAUAAAGCGGGU
rnacentral:rRNA from 1 species